CGGGCCAGCUCAGCCCAGCCAGUCCGGCCACUGCCGCGCCCCCGGCGCCCGCGCCCACCAACGCACCAGGCCUGCAGUUCGCCUGCGCCCGGCAGCCCGAGCUCGCCAUGAUGCAUUGCUCUUACUGGGACCACGACAGUAAGACCGGCGCGCUGCACUCGCGCCUCGAUCUCUGAGAGUCCAGCGCACGAAGGCUGCGAAGAUGCAGGGACGCGCGACGCCCGCCUUGGCCGCCGCAGCCGGCCAGACCGCGCGCCCGCUGGGGCCCCCUGAGCCAGCGCCCACCGCCCCUCUGCGCCUCCUCGCUCUCCUCCGCUCCUCUUGCUCCUCUUUGUCUCCGCUUCUCCCCCUGUGUUCGCCUCCCUGCCCUCUUUGCCCUUUCGCUCCUCUGGCCUGCAGGCCGCCUCUCCACGCGUUUUCCUCAGGCCCAGUCUUCUCCGGGCACCCCACCGUCGGGGCUGGACACCCGUCGCCAAAAUUCACGGCGGAGAGGAAGUGCCCCGGGCCGAGGUGCAGCCGGGCCUGGCAGCGCAGACCUCCUGGCCUUUUCUCGCAGGAGAUUUGAAGAAUUCCUGUCGGGCCUUCGAAAAGCUAUGUUCAGAGAGAUUUCCCCCUAUCUUCCGAUGCCAGCCCUGAGCGCGGGGAGAUCACUGUCUGCCUGACGGAAGCUGCAGGGUCGACUCAUCCCCUCCCUCGUUUUUGUUUUUCAAACGUCUUGCUUCUCCCACUCUGGGCAAGAGAAAUGUGAAACCCGGCAGCAGUCGGACCAGGCGGGCUUGUGGCUCCGAGCCUGCCGGCCCACAACUCUAGACCUGGUUGUUUUGUAGUGUGUCGUUCGGAGGACCAAAUUUUUCUAGAAAGAACUAGAGCACUUUUGUU
rnacentral:lncRNA from 1 species